rnacentral:lncRNA from 1 species
UUUUAUUAGCAUCAGUGUAAAAUGGCUUUACAUCUUGCGUACGUAGUUAUAAAUCGGUCCGCUUAAUUUUAUGAGAUUAUGCUUUAUUUCAUUAUCUCUUGUUCAAUAUUCUAACAUUUGAAUUUUUCCAAGAUGUAGUAUCAUCUAGAUUCGAAGUUGAGACGGAUAAUAGGAAAAGCUACUUGGAAUAGUAGCUUUGAUUGUUUCACUACCGUAUUGAAGUUGCUGGAUGAUUAGCACGUGGAUAUGCUAUGCCAGUCAUUCCUCUAGUCCAGUAUUAGUUGAGAGAGGUGCAGUACUCUAGACAGUUCAUUGAUACAAUACUCUGUCGGAUGCUUAGGCAAACAAUGGCGAUUCCUUCUACUUUGACCCUGGGGGCAAGGUCGUUAUUUUCUCCAUAUUUGAGUUUGCUCUGAUGGCUUGACUGAAGAUCAUAUACGAUGAAGCAACUCAUGAUUGUAUUCAAAGAAACAAUAGGUUGCAAGACGCAUAUUUUUAGGGACAAGGAAAGGUGCUUCUACCUCAGUUGAUUGGGUGUAAUCAGGGAGUGCGAUCAGAUGUUAGACGGAUUGAAACUAUGACUAAUCUAUAUUUUUGAGAGCAAGGUUCAAUGUCAUCACAAGAAGACUGCAAUUGACUUUUUCCAUUUAGAAGUUAUUAACAAUAUCAAUGCCUUCAACAACUAUCUGUGGGGUCGGAGAUAUUUUGAAGACAUCAUACAUGUUUUCACCAGAACACAUUCGAAGCCUAAGAGGUCCAUUUGUCAAUACGAUACUUAUGGAUUGACCUUGACGGUGCAGUUAAAUAUUUAAUAUAAUCAACGUUAAAAUAUUUUUUAUAUUAAAUUUAUAUAUAAUAAUUGUAUGUAUGUGUUGCUGAUUUGGGCAUAUGAGACUGUCCUCCACUUAGGUAUCUAGUUUGCGAGGCGAAGGGAGAUAAAUUCUCUUAGAUACAUCAUUGGCGAGCAUCUUGAGCAAACGAAUGUCCAUUUGGCAAACAGUUAUCAGCUUUCAUCGACGACCCUCGGGUGAUCAUUAUGCAUUAGUGAUUUUAUAUUGUAAGUAGUUUCAAAUCUCAUCACAUGAUCAUUAACUAGUUGAAAUGUCAAUAUGUUAGCUUGAGGUCAUAACUAAGUUGACGCUGUCGACGGAGGAUGAGGGUUGAGGUCUUGUGCAAGAAUCAGUCGUUUCGCACACUCAAGACGACCAAAUGUUCGAUUCCAUCCUAAACCGAGAUUGGGCAUAUGAAUUCAAUAUAAUUUAUUGAUCACAUUUUAUAUGAGUUAGCCUAUUUUAAUUAAGUUAAUAAUUUUUAAUAUUGUUAUUUAUCUAGGAGUACGGUCCAAUUGAUCGACGAUCACCUUUGCCAAUGAGAUCACCUCCACCCAGAGGAUCACUUCUGCCGAUGAAAUCUCCUUAUCCCCAUCCAGACACCUCUCUCAUUGGUCUCUUGCACACAGUUAGAGUCAUUAUUUUUGAUGAUUUGGAUGAUCGCUUGACUGGAUUUAUAGGGAAAGAGGUGGACACACCGCAAUGAAAGUUGAGAGGCAAGGUAGAUGAUUUAUUUUACGAUACAGGAGUGCUAUGUCACCACUUCGUAGACCUUAGGAUGAGGUCACGGCGCUUAGAGACGAUAAAGUAGGCAGGCGAUGGGGGUGACGAAGAGGGGUGAUGGGAGGGUAACGGAGAGGGAGGUCACUCAUAGUUGUGGACAGAUGUUGCAUUAGAAUCAUUUUUGUUAUCUGUAAAGUAGGAGGGGUAGCCCCAAUGAGGACGAGAGAGGCUGCAGGAGAGGAAAGAAUGGAGGGGUGGCCCUUAUGGAAAUCGAAGAAGUGGCGAAUGUGGGGUUGGCCCGGAUGGCGAAGGAGGUGGUGGAGGAGAUGGCAAUCUCCAGGGUGGAGAAAAAGAAGAUAAGAAGCUUGCUGUUGAUGUGUCGGAGCGGGUGAUCAACAAGAGGUCGAAAUUGCCGUCAUAGUACGUCAUUUCUUCCUUCACAGCUAAGGCGAAGAGGAAGAUGUUCAUCAAUGAGACGUACCCCAAUCUAUUCCAGAAGGUGGAUAUGUUAAGUGGAAAGCAUUCAAGAUAGAGUGGAGAAGAAGUAUGCUUCGGUAAGUAUUAUAAAAUUUUAGUACAGUACGCUAUGUUAGCGUAUCUAUGCUUAUUUUAACAUUUUCUUUAUUUCUUUUCCAGAGUUUGUCACACGAUAGCUCAAAGGACGAUCAUGAACAAAUGGUUCCAUAACAUCACCACUUUAGGAGUUUGGCUUGGUGACGAUGUAAGUGAAAUAGUCAUGUUAUUAUUUAUUAUGUAUACAUAUUUUUUUUUAUUAAAUGAAAUAAUUCCCUCUUUUUUAUUAGUGUUUCCUGAUGUCACACAUCGACCUGGCCAUGGUCUUAUUGUGUGAUUGGAUUUAAAGAUACCCAAAAUUAUUUGACAUUCCAGGUUGAUCAUAUUGAGCACUGAGUUCAUACCUGUAGUUACCAUUAAGUAUUAGUCACUCCACCUUAUAGGUAAUGAGUAUAUGAACCCAAAUAUAUGCUUGAGUGGGUUAUAGGGAUGUGGCCGAGUGUCAAGAAAAAGUCAUAGGAAGAUUGUACGCAUAUGUACAUUCCAGUGAUUAAGAAUCAUCACUACUUUGUUGUGGAGAUCGUCUUUGCUGAUUUCACUAUACAUGUGUAAAACUCUGAUCAUUCACAUCUAACACAGAGUCAACUUGAGCAAAACCACCCGCUGUGGUGAUUGUGCAAGACAGAUUGAC